rnacentral:misc_RNA from 1 species
GCUGGAAACUGAACGGAAGUAUUCGCGCAUACAAUGGCGGCGACGUCCUGGUUCUCUAGGGGGCGCGCCGUGCGCCGUUGAACCGCAGCCACGCGUCUACCGGGCGCUCCCUGCACGUCAUUGCUUAUUCUUUGGGUACGUGCUGCGCGGUAGGCGUGCCUACACGGACAUGGCUGCACCGCACGCCUUGACGCAGGCGGGGCCGCGGCCAUGAGUCCUGUGGCAGCGGGUGCGUCGAGCGGAAGGGGCCCGCGGAUAGGCAUGCGCCUGCUCGCGAGGAGACCACGUAGCCUGCCGCUCCGAAGGGGCACCGGAGGGCAACCGCAGGCGCCCGACGGCGGAAGCCCGUGCAGCGCGAGCGAUCCGCGAAUCUCGCGUGGCAUAUCGGGCACAGCGCCGGGACGGACGCCCUCGGUAGGCAAAGCAGGGCGGGCGGAGGCUCUGGCGGGUGCGGGGUACCACAAUGCUAGCGGAGACGUGGGCAGCACACCAUCUGCGCUCCGUGUUGUCACUGCGGGUCACCCGCCGUUGCAGGAAUCCGAAGCACCAGCCGGGUGCCCGUGCGGGACUGCACGAGCACCGUCUCCUGUCGUCUUGUAAGCUGGGCAGCCGCGUCCUUCUGGUGUGGGACGACUGCCGCCAAGGAGCUGUUGUCUCAGUGUGUCGCGUCGCGUAUCGUGAAUUUAUGUACUGAGUAGCCGGCACGAUUCGUGGUGAGCUGGUGCAAACGCGCUCAUGACUGCAGGCCUCCUCCGCGCAGCGCCAGCCCAGGCCUGUCCGCCGACAUCGAGAGUCCGCAGCCGCACCACCCCCCUUCCAGGGCGGGCUGCAGGCCCUUGGCGUCCCCGCACGCUGGGCACUAGGCCCUAGCGCUACCGUGAGGCGGCGGGCACUAUCACGCCACCCACAUGCCUUUAGACGACGGAAAAAACAGCAGCCGGGCGUACGUCUGCAUUCAUGUCUACGUGUCCCCCGUAUUUUGUCUGUGUUUGCGAGGCACGGAGGGAAGGGGCUUCCCGAGGCUCUCGCGCGCUCUGCAUUCCCUAUCCUCCUGCCCUUUUGUUGCGGGUUGCUCUUCUCCACGCGAUAUUCGUCCUCGCUGCUGUUUGGCGUUGGAUACUCAGGUUUCCUCGCUCUUUCUUCUGCUGCUCGCGCUUAGCUGGAGCUGUGCCUGUGCCCGUGUAGUAGCUUGGCUUUGGUGUGCGCGCUGGGCUUCAUGCAGAGAGGGACACACGCACGGGAGCAGGCGCUUGCGGCUCUGUUGUUGGCACGAUUGUGACCAUAUCUGCAGAGAGACGGCAUGUGGGGCCUGUCUAUUUCUCCCCUUGCGCAUGCCUGUGUGUAGGGGUGGUGCUGUGGUAGUGGUGAGCCGUGUGCCGUACUCAUGCCUCCUCCUGUUGUCUCGACGCGGCGAAAGCGAUGCUCUGCCUCUCCACUACCUGCUCUCACUCAUUGCUCGGAUUGGCCCGUCUCUGCUGCCACUGCCGAUGGCGAUGUCCCCGCCCCCUCUUGCUUUUCAUGGACCCCUACUCUUUCACGUGGCGGUUGCUGUUGCCGCGUAUUCCUCCUGGGAUGGUGGGGGAGAUCACAGGCACCGCGCUGCAGGCUUGUUGUGUAAGCGCAGGGAAAAAAAGGACGGGUGGCGAUGGGCUGCCGUAAUGAUGUGAAGAGCUGGUGCCCAGUAUGUGUCGAGCUUAGCGGCGCAGACUGUCGUGAUUCCGUACUCUCGCCCGAGCGGCAGGUGCUUUAUCGCCACGCUCUGAUCCGAAACAAUGAAAGAGGUGUAUGUGAUACUUCUCUUGCAGCCAUCAUAUUUGAUUGCAUGCGUUCGGCCACCUGUAGGGGGUGGAUGACGCUGCUGUGCACCACCUUGACCAGAUCCCUCGUCGUCGUCACCCCCCCCCAUGUAUAGGUGCCAAGCCGCUAGUUUUGUCUUUAUACAUGUAUGCGCGCCGAUUGGGAGGAGUGUCUUCCUUGAUCGGGCUCUCUGCCUUUCUUUGUUUGAGCGUCUGCUGUCUGUGCCAUCGAGUGCCCGGUAGGCAUGUGGGCUGCUGGCCGACGAGGCUGGGCCACAGUGAAUGCGGACGUGACUGUCGUACGGCGAUGAGGAGAGUGGGGACGGGCGCGGUGGCCACGGCGUCGGAGGAAGCCAGCUGUGCUAUAAGGGGAGAUGCAAAGGCCUCGUUCCCCCGGGAGAUUGUGAGUGCUGCGUUUUCGCUUUCUCUUCACACGCAUCUCCCUUCCUCCGUCCCCUGCCCCGAGCACACCCCUACGCUUCUUUUCGCUGUUUUCGUAUUAUCUGUCGUGUGUUCC